AUCCUAAUAUGAUGACAUCCAAAGCAGAAUAUGAACAAAAAAUCAAAACAAAAAUCUAAAACCACUAAUCCUAUGUAGUGAAGAGGCGAGGAAAUGAGGAGGGAUAAGGUUGAAUUAAUGGAAUGCUACCUGAUUUAAAUUAGACAAUGAGUUUUUUUAAUUAUAGAGGUAAUCACAUCCUAUAUCUGUGUUUUAAAAAGUUGUCAACCGAACAAUGUGUAUGACUUUCAUUCUCAUUCCUUGUGUCUAACCCCAUGAACCAAACACAUCCUAAAUUUUCCAUAUGCCUAC